UAGGGAAUCUUCCACAAUGGACGCAAGUCUGAUGGAGCAACGCCGCGUGAGUGAAGAAGGUCUUCGGAUCGUAAAGCUCUGUUGUUGGUGAAGAAGGAUAGAGGCAGUAACUGGUCUUUAUUUGACGGUAAUCAACCAGAAAGUCACGGCUAACUACGUGCCAGCAGCCGCGGUAAUACGUAGGUGGCAAGCGUUGUCCGGAUUUAUUGGGCGUAAAGCGAGCGCAGGCGGAAUGAUAAGUCUGAUGUGAAAGCCCACGGCUCAACCGUGGAACUGCAUCGGAAACUGUCAUUCUUGAGUGCAGAAGAGGCAGAGUGGAACUCCAUGUGUAGCGGUGGAAUGCGUAGAUAUAUGGAAGAACACCAGUGGCGAAGGCGGCUCUCUGGUCUGCAACUGACGCUGAGGCUCGAAAGCAUGGGUAGCGAACAGGAUUAGAUACCCUGGUAGUCCAUGCCGUAAACGAUGAGCGCUAGGUGUUGGGGACUUUC
rnacentral:rRNA from 1 species